CCACUGCAAUUUAACUAAGGGAGUUUUUCUUUAGCUCAAUGUAUGAAGGAACUGAGUUGUUUUCAAACCCUGAAGAUCUAGCUCUCUGCUUCUCCCUGCUGGCUGCCACACAUGGCUGUGCUGUGCUCAGAUAACUGCUACAGGAGGGAGAGAGACACACACAGGGACAAGCAGGAGAGGUUGUGAUCAGCAUUUAGAGGGGAGUCUUGGUACAUCCCAGUUAGCAGUAUAUAUGGCUGCCACAAGACAGACAUGGAAAUGAUCUGUGGAUCUCAAGAGCUAAAAGCAUAAGUGUCUACAGCUGGAGUUUAAAGGACAAGAUCUCUUGGCAAAGAACACUUAUAACCUCUGUGGAUCAAGCACUGGAUCCAGACUAACACGGCUACCCCUCUAUUACUUGAAGACAGCGCAUUUGGAUCCUGCACGUUCUUUAAUGAAGGCGCUGGCUGCCACGUGCCCCAGCAACUGAAGACAGUUCCCGACCAGAGUUUGGGGGCUGAUCUGAAUUGUGUUGGCUAUGUUGGAAAGGGCCACAAACCUGUGCAGAGGAAGGCCUGAUUUGAGGAGGAGAUCUAUGGCCCUGGAGGUUGCCCGAGAUGUCAGUUCCAGAGAGUGGCCUUUCAGCAGCCAAUCAUCCAGGAGGAGCAAAGCCAACUAGACCAGCCUCUCUCCCUUUUCUGCCUCCUUCCCCGUCUCCCACCCCUGCCCCCAGCCACAGUCUGCACAACUUUGUUCUAUAAAAGAAACAGCUCCAAUUUGUGCUGAACAUAGGCAAUUUUUACAGCAAUGGAAAAAGAUUAGCUGGCUCCUAGAAACAGAUCAGCUCUACCUGGUGUGAACAGCAGGAGCCUGGAAAUUCCUAUCCCGCUCAAUCCAUCGAACCCUUUUGAGAUAAAUUGUGGCUUGCAGUGAUCGCGUAUGUCACUUGGCCUCUUAGAGCUCUCUGCUGUAUGUCAACUCAUCUAAGGAGGAAGAAUAGAAGAUUUCAAAAAGAGAGAGAGAGAGAAACAGAGAAAUGGAACACCAACUGACCAGACUAUGUAGAUACAGAAUACUGAAAAAGUCAAUUUAGUUCACCACACUCCUUUAAUACACUGAAUACACUCUCUGCGUUGUCUGAUCUGGUACAGAAAACUGCUGCAGCUUUGCUGUUUUUCUAAAGGGACAUCAUGGUAUGAGACACUCAAAUGACUACAGUAGCAGAAUUUUGUGACGCUCUUCAGAUGUUACACUUUUAUGACUCAGAAGAUCCCAUUUGUCAGUUUAUGUGCAUAAAAAUGAUUAUUUCAACAUACAUUUGCCUUCACUGAAUACAGAUGUGUGCUCUCUAGAUCCUAUUACAAAUUCCAUGU